rnacentral:rRNA from 1 species
UACGAAGGGGGCUAGCGUUGCUCGGAAUCACUGGGCGUAAAGGGUGCGUAGGCGGGUCUUUAAGUCAGGGGUGAAAUCCUGGAGCUCAACUCCAGAACUGCCUUUGAUACUGAGGAUCUUGAGUUCGGGAGAGGUGAGUGGAACUGCGAGUGUAGAGGUGGAAUUCGUAGAUAUCGGAAGGAACAUCAGUGGCGAAGGCGACUUCCUGGACCAAUACUGACGCUCAGGUGCGAAAGCGUGGGGAGCAAACAGG